GAUGAAGAACGCAGCGAAAUGCGAUAAGUAGUGUGAAUUGCAGAAUUCAGUGAAUCAUCGAAUCUUUGAACGCACAUUGCGCCCGCCAGUAUUCUGGCGGGCAUGCCUGUCCGAGCGUCAUUUCAACCCUCGGGCCCCCCUCUGCGGGCGGCCCGGCGUUGGGGCUCAGGCGCCGUCUCUGCUCGGCGCCUGUCCCCUAAAUGCAGUGGCGGCCUCGCCGCUGCCUCCUCCGCGUAGUAGCACAAACCUCGCGGCUGGAAGGCGGCGCGGCCACGCCGUAAAACCCCCCAACUUUACCAAGGUUGACCUCGGAUCAGGUAGGAAUACCCGCUGAACUUAAGCAUAUCAAUAAGCGGAGGA
rnacentral:misc_RNA from 1 species